rnacentral:tRNA from 1 species
GUGGGUAUAGUUUAGUUGGUUAGAACGCCGGAUUGUGGUUCCGGAGGUCGUCGGUUCGAAUCCGACUACCCACC